GAUUCCGCGAAACAACUUGUAACUCAACAGAAUGCGCAAGAAACAGUCAGGAAAGAGGAGGAGAGGAUGCCAGAGAGACCUUCAGGAUUAACAUGCAGUGCUGAAUAUUUAAUUAACCAGAGAUAACAACAGAAAAUGAAGAUACACAGUUAAUAAAGCAGGAGCUGAAAGAAGAUUUAAUAAUUGUGAUUGCUGGGUGCUUUCCGAAGAAACUGGACUUCCUCAGAGUGUUCUGUUGUGAUUCUGCACCGUCAACCUCAAGUGCCUUCUAACAAGAGAAAACAAGGACUUAGCACAGGGACAACAUUUUAGCUCACCUGUCUUUUAAUACUUAUUUCCUUCAAAG